rnacentral:rRNA from 1 species
UACGGAGGAUGCAAGCGUUAUCCGGAGUUACUGGGCGUAAAGGGCGUGUAGGCGGUCUGUUAAGUCUGGCGUGAAAGCUCUCGGCUAAACCGGGAGAGGUCGUUGGAUACUGGCAGACUAGAGGACGGGUAGAGGCGGUGUGGAAUUCCGGGUGUAGUGGGUGAAAUGCGUAGAGAUCCGGAGGAACACCAGUGGCGAAGGCGACACGCUGGGCCGUACCUGACGCUAAAGCGCGACAGCAUGGGGAGCAAACGGG